AAUAGGUUUGGUUUGCAUUUGA
rnacentral:miRNA from 1 species